GCAAACUUGGUCAUUUAGAGGAAGUAAAAGUCGUAACAAGGUCUCCGUUGGUGAACCAGCGGAGGGAUCAUUACUGAGUCGCCAGACUCCCAAACCACUGUGAACCUACCCUCGUCUGCGCUCCGGCGGGUCGCCCCGCGGGGGGGCGCCUGCCGAAAGGCACCCGCCGGAGCCAACCCCAAAAAGUCUCUGAUCCGAAAUGGACCGGUCUUCUGAGUGCAUACACUUGAAAAAUUCACAACUUUCAACAAUGGAUCUCUUGGUUCCGGCAUCGAUGAAGAACGCAGC
rnacentral:misc_RNA from 1 species